CCGGGAAAUUGAGUCGUUUUGGGUUACUAGCGAGAGGGGCUGGGGAUGAUCCCGUCGUAAACGCGUAGAACAAGAAAGCAAAUAAGACGGCACCUAUGGCAAAGCAUUACAUUUUUUUUAAUGCUGGAAAACUACUGUACUGCGCUCAGGCAGGGCUUUCCCGAAGUCUUGCAAGAGAACUUGUUCCUGAUAAUUCUGAGAGGGAAGAGAUCGACCUGUCAGAACUAAGAGGACUGCUCCCUUCGUCGGUUUGGACCUUCUACUACUCUAGGGGUAUUCCCCCACCGAGGUUUCGUGAGGGUUAUUAAGAAUGUCGGGAGAAUUUCUUUCGUUUAUCACUGGGACGUGAUCAUUUAAAGGGCAGGGUGACAAAUGUGUAUUUUAGUCAUAUAUUCCCUACUUUUUGUAUAUUUAACUAGUAUUGGGACUGUUUUAAUUAAUCCAUGAUUGCACACGGCACUGUAAAGUUGCUGAUAAUGCAUUGUUUAAUUAAUUAUACAAUAGCUGAAUGCUGUUGUCAUUUAGAAUAUAUUGAUGUUUUAACGAUCGGUAGCAUCUUUUCAUCUGCUGCGGUUAUGUCAUUACUUCUAAUUGAUACACCUGGUAACUUUUUAGCCACUGCACGAUGUUAAUUGUUUCUACUUAAACUGUCUGGUUGAUAUCUUAAGUCAUAUUUGGCAGCUAAUUUCCUUGUUUGACUUUUUCGCUAUAAAUGUGCUUUGUUAAUCAAGGGGUAGAAGUGUUGAUAAUUAGAAAGUCUAAAUAACAUGUAUUGUUAAAGUGAAACGCAGUACAAUGUUUAAAAGUAAAUCAGUAAGAGUUUGUGGUGUUUCCUAGAGGGAAUGUUUCGACGAGAGGACAGUUCCGCUGGAGAAGAGUAAGCGAAUGUGUGCUCACGUUCUGCAGCGGAGAACAGUCCGUGAGUUUAAUGAGCAAUGCUGGACUGUGAUUAAAAAUCGCCUUGUUGAACACAGUAUCUGCAAUGGUCUUGAUUUACAAACCCACACGAAGUCUCGACAGUCUUACAAAAUGCUUUAAGAACUAAAACGUUUGUGUUUCUGUAUUGCUGUUUAAGUUAACACAUUCAAUGCUGGGCGACCGACCUACCUGAGUGUGGUCUGUGUGAUUGCUGGUUGAUGGAAGUCCGCUGCGCUGUCCAUGCGAUUCCUCCCUCUCAGUCCAGUCUAUUGAAUUGUGUAAUUGCUGCCGUAUUUUAUUGAAAUUGUGUUUUUAACUUUCCUCCGUACUUGGUUAUUUCUUGUUUAUCUUAAACUUAAAUUAAACAUUGUAAAAUCUUAUAUAUAGAAUACCGUUUUCUAUGUAGGUACAGUAAUCCUACUUUCACUUGACCAUAGCUCUUCUUGAAGGCUGUACCUUCUGGUGGUCUGGGCUGGUGCUGCACCCUGCCAAAUUUACAGCACACUAUUCAUUAUAUGGUGUUUUCCUUUUAUUAUUGGUGUGAUUUGUUUAGUUGAUUUAGUUAGUCUAUUUGUUUGGUUUAUUUUGUGUAUUUGGUUUUAUUGUAUUAGAAUUAGAUUUUGGUUUUGUUUACUAUUCUGUAUGUUGUUUGGCUGCUUUUGCACUUUCAGUGGGUUAAGCAGAGCUGUGUCUCCAGCCACCCACCCCUCUUGGUACAGCUGUGACUGAAAUAAAACCAAGGUUUACCUGUAUUUUCAUAAAA